rnacentral:rRNA from 1 species
UAAUACGUAGGCAGCAAGCGUUGUUCGGAAUUACUGGGCGUAAAGAGUGUGUAGGCGGUUGCGCAAGUUUGGUGUGAAAUCUCCCGGCUCAACUGGGAGGGUGCGCCGAAAACUGCGUGGCUAGAGUGCCGGAUAGGAAAGCGGAAUUCCUGGUGUAGCGGUGAAAUGCGUAGAUAUCAGGAGGAACACCGGUGGUGUAGACGGCUUUCUGGACGGCCACUGACGCUGAGACACGAAAGCGUGGGGAGCAAACAGGAUUAGAUACCCUGGUAGUCCACGCCCUAAACGAUGCAUACUUGGUGUGAGCCAUUCAUUUGGUUCGUGCCGGAGCUAACGCGUUAAGUAUGCCGCCUGGGGAGUACGGUCGCAAGGCUG